rnacentral:lncRNA from 1 species
CCAAUUUUAAAUAUAUAUAAAAUUAAUAACAAAAUUUUCUUUGGUUGGUGACAAUAUUAUGUCAACAUUUUUUUCUGAAGAAAUAUAAGUUGAGAUUAAAUGAGAACACAUGAGAGCACCUCUUUUUCAGGUUAUUGUAAAAAGUAAAGUUGUCCAUGUGUCAAUAAGAGAGAGACUGCAGAGUUAUUAUGGUGUGCUAGCUUAUUGAAAUGAAUUUCAUUUCAUAAUUCAUUUUAUUGACCUCUGAAAUGAAUUAUUGAUCAUUGAAAUGAAAUAUUAAUCUCUGAAAUGAACUGAACUUUACCACUGCAAGUCAGAAGUUCAAUUUAUUAAAAUAAAAUUGAAAUGACCCUCACCAUUGUAGAUGCUCUAAUACACGCUUGUAUUGUUCCAUCACCCUCUUCGAUGUCCAUGAAAACUACAAGGUCCUUGUAGGUCAGUCCCCCAACCAAAAUCAUUAUCAAUUUAGGCCUUUUUGGUACAUUGGACUAUACUGACUAAUUUUUGUCGGAUAGUAUCAAUCUAUUUCGGAGAGGACUGACUAUUUACGACAGGACCCAACCCAAAUUCCACUUUGGAAUCCGAGCUGAACCUUUUGAGUGUUCGACAUCUGGCAGGUGCUGAGCACAUUUGACCAAAUUGCCCUUCUAAUUAAAACUCAAAGUUCUUUUUCUAGUUUGACUUCUGCCGAAAAUUCAGCAGAAUUUCCCCUGUAAAUUGUCAUUUCCCAAAAAAUUUCACCUGUACAAUAAGCAAUUUCAAUAUCCACAAUCGCUCAGUAUGCACAAUAGUAUAAUUCAAGCAACCCAACAUCAAAUCUAUAUGUCCUCAAGCCUCUUAUAAUCAAAUUAAAUGUUCUGCCAACAGAAGCUAUUCCAAACUUUUGAAACAACAUGAAUACGUUAAUAGAUUUCAAAAUAAUUUAACUGAACAGCUUUUCAAUCCCUUAGUCUCGUGGCUGCACCUAGUAACUCUAGGUUGCCUACGUACCCUUAACAAGGGAUCAAGCCACACGUAGUUCUUUCUCUUUUUAUACUGCACUU